GUACAGCACAGUGACUGACUGUGGGGUCGCUAUGCCUUCCGGAUUGUGAAUGUGAAAUCCAUCUCGCUUUUUACCUUUUGGCCUCAGUAACUAAAUGCUACAGCACUGCUUCCCAGGAAGGCUUGUUUAAAGCUCCAAACAGGGGAGAACAGAGGACAUGCGCAGUGUUCACCCUCUUCUACACGCACAGGGAGACUGUAGUGGACUGAUCUGGCACUACACCUGCAGCACCACAGCCAGAGGAUAGCUCCACUCUGCACCAACACUCAGGUAACAGAUACACAGCAUCCACCCUUUUUAUUUGUUACAUUGUAUCCUGUAUCCUGUUAGCAGCAUCCCUCGCCACCAUCCUCACCCAUGCCCUCUGAUACUUGAUUGCAGAUCAAGGGCUGCAGGGAUCUCUCUCCAGAAGGGGGGGUUUAAAAAAACAAACAGCACCGUCAAGAUAAAGGCUGCCAGGAGGGAUCCACAUUGUGCGACUUCUGCAAACUUCCGGAUACUUAAGAAGAGAUAGAAAUGGAAACCAAAGGUAAGGGCUGCGUUCUUUUUGGAUACUUAAAGCAUGUGUGCUGUGGGUAGGGAAUAAGGGAGAGACUGCAGUGCAUGGAUGGACUACAGCGUGAUGCUGGGUCGAUAUAGGAGAGUGUAAUAGUGCACAUUGCAGCAUUGCCAGAGGAUAUGUCCUGGAGGAC